CCUACGGGGGGCAGCAGUAGGGAAUCUUGCCCAAUGGACGAAAGUCUGAGGCAGCAACGCCGCGUGCGCGAUGAAGGCCUUCGGGUUGUAAAGCGCUUUUCUGGGGGACGAGAAAGGACGGUACCCCAGGAAUAAGUCUCGGCUAACUACGUGCCAGCAGCCGCGGU
rnacentral:rRNA from 1 species